UGGGGAAUAUUGGACAAUGGACCAAGAGUCUGAUCCAGCAAUUCUGUGUGCACGAUGAAGUUUUUCGGAAUGUAAAGUGCUUUCAGUUGGGAAGAAAAAAAUGACGGUACCAACAGAAGAAGUGACGGCUAAAUACGUGCCAGCAGCCGCGGUAAUACGUAUGUCACAAGCGUUAUCCGGAUUUAUUGGGCGUAAAGUGCGUCUAGGUGGUUAUGUAAGUCUGAUGUGAAAAUGCAGGGCUCAACUCUGUAUUGCGUUGGAAACUGUAUAACUAGGGUACUGGAGAGGUAAGCGGAACUACAAGUGUAGAGGUGAAAUUCGUAGAUAUUUGUAGGAAUGCCGAUGGGGAAGCCAGCUUACUGGACAGAUACUGACGCUGAAGCGCGAAAGCGUGGGUAGCAAACAGGAUUAGAUACCCUGGUAGUCCAUGCCGUAAACGAUGAUUACUAGGUGUUGGGGGUCGAACCUCAGCGCCCAAGCAAACGCGAUAAGUAAUCCGCCUGGGGAGUACGUACGCAAGUAUG
rnacentral:rRNA from 1 species